rnacentral:rRNA from 1 species
CCUACGGGUGGCAGCAGUGAGGAAUAUUGGUCAAUGGACGAGAGUCUGAACCAGCCACGUAGCGUGAAGGAUGACUGCCCUAUGGGUUGUAAACUUCUUUUAUAAAGGAAUAAAACGAGGCACGUGUGCCUUUUUGCAUGUACUUUAUGAAUAAGGAUCGGCUAACUCCGUGCCAGCAGCCGCGGUAAUACGGAGGAUCCGAGCGUUAUCCGGAUUUAUUGGGUUUAAAGGGAGCGUAGAUGGGUUGUUAAGUCAGUUGUGAAAGUUUGCGGCUCAACCGUAAAAUUGCAAUUGAUACUGGGAGUCUUGAGUACAGUUGAGGUAGGCGGAAUUCGUGGUGUAGCGGUGAAAUGCGUAGAUAUCACGAAGAACCCCGAUUGCGAAGGCAGCUUACUAAACUGUGACUGACAUUGAGGCUCGAAAGUGUGGGGAGCAAACAGGAUUAGAUACCCGGGUAGUC